GGCAGAUGAGAGGGUUUGGUGAGUGAUACAGCAGCCUCAGCCUCCUGGGAGACUGGUCUGGCCUGCUGGGAAGACAUUGUCCACUCUGGCCUGGCCUGGCCUGAGCAGGUAUGUGAGCGACAACUGCAGAGAGUGCCAGCCUCUGGAAGAGCCCCAGGGGCCUCAUCCGACCACGGCGCCCACAAGGUGCCCCUCAUAAGUGUUCUGGAGGCUGCGAGCACAGCCAAAAAGAUGAACAGCUCCUGUCCCUGCGGUGGGCUGAUGAGAGUGGAACGAGGGCACAUGUUCCAAUGAAUCUCUCGUGUCAGUUUUCACUGCAGCACAAACAGAGGGAGGUGGGGAGUGCAUCGUUUCUUCUAGGAAGCCCCGGUUUCCACUGCUGAUGAGGAGAGAGAGACAGAAAUGGGGAUUUUUCACACUCCUUUGCCUGGUGAAUAUUUUUGUUUUCGUUUAAUUUUGGAUUAGUGCAUUGCUUUAGGACUGGACAGAUGAAAUCAGCAUCUUCCCAAACUUCUCUGCUGGAAGACUGUCUGGAAUAUCUCCCCUUGGCCCUCUGGGGGAUGCUGCCCACUCCACAGGGCUCCCUGAAGCUCUGUCUGAUUAUAAAGCUUCUCCCUAAUGGGCAAGAUCUCACACAUGAUAGAGCCAUAAAAUGUGGCACUCCUGGCUGGCCCUGCUGCUUGUCUGAUAAGGGAGAUGGAGGGACUCGCCAGCACAGGCAGAGGGCCCUGGGUCUUACCCCGCCCCUGUGCCUCCUCCCGACUCCAGCUGGUCUCGGCUUCCAGCAUGUUGGAAGGCCUGUUCUGCAGAACCCAAAGCCCGUGUUUUGCAAUGAUGAGGAUUCCAUGUUCAAGAAAGGCUGGGAAAUCUCUCCCCUCCUAGGGAUUCAAAACACCCAUGAGCACAGUCAUGGCUGUGAGGAGGCUUCCACUAAAGAAAACCUGGUAGCUCGCAUUUCCCCGGGACACAUUGCUGAAGCUUGUCACGGUGGUGAGAGAGACCUGUGGUCUCCUAGGAGGCGUGGAGCAGCCUUCCCACACUCUCUGCACAUACACAUCCUCGGGGGAUCUGGUCCAGGGGCAGAUUCUGACACCCCAGGCCUCAGCUGAGGCUCCAGACGCUGUGUCUCUCACAAGCCCUCGGAGGACAGUGAUGCUGCAGGUCCACAGGCCACAGGGAUCCAGAGUGGCUGCUGGUGAGUUUCCAGAAGACCCGGAACUAUUAUUUAGAGGGGGCAGGGGAAGGUAUUUCACCUUGCUACAACUUAGGCUGGGCCAGAGCUUUCCUUUCCGGGAAUGCUGUUGAACAAAAAAGUGGGACCUGGGGUGGCUGAGAUGGGCGUCCUGGAGAAGUGUGGGCUGGGAGACCUAGAAGCCACCUUUCGGUAGAAUAAUCUAGGAUCUCAAAAC
ensembl:lncRNA novel transcript